CGUAGGGUGCAAGCGUUAUCCGGAAUCACUGGGCGUAAAGCGUGCGUAGGUGGCGCGUUAAGUGAGGUGUUAAAUCGUGUGGCUCAACCAUAUCGAUGCAUCUCAUACUGGCGUGCUAGAGGACAGCAGAGGCAAGUGGAAUUGGUAGUGUAGCAGUGAAAUGCGUAGAUAUUACCAGGAACACCAAUGGCGAAGGCAGCUUGCUGGGCUACUCCUGACACUGAGGUACGAAAGCGUGGGGAGCGAACGGGAUUAGAUACCCUGGUAGUCCACGCCGUAAACGAUGCAUACUAGUCUUAUGGGGUAUCGACCCCCUGUGAGACGCAGCUAACGCGAUAAGUAUGCCGCCUGGGAAGUACGGCCGCAAGGCUA
rnacentral:rRNA from 1 species